AUUGAACGCUAGCGGGAUGCUUUACACAUGCAAGUCGAACGGCAGCGCGGACUUCGGUCUGGCGGCGAGUGGCGAACGGGUGAGUAAUGUAUCGGAACUUGCCCAGUAGCGGGGGAUAACUACGCGAAAGCGUAUCUAAUACCGCAUACGCCCUACGGGGGAAAGCAGGGGAUCGUAAGACCUUGCACUAUUGGAGCGGCCGAUAUCGGAUUAGCUAGUUGGUGAGGUAACGGCUCACCAAGGCGACGAUCCGUAGCUGGUUUGAGAGGACGACCAGCCACACUGGGACUGAGAAACGGCCCAGACUCCUACGGGAGGCAGCAGUGGGGAAUUUUGGACAAUGGGGGAAACCCUGAUCCAGCAAUCCCGCGUGUGCGAUGAAGGACUUCGGGUUGUAAAGCACUGUUGGCAGGAAAGAAACGUCGCGGGCUAAUACCCCGUGGAACUGACGGUACCUGCAGAAUAAGCACCGGCUAACUACGUG
rnacentral:rRNA from 1 species